CUUUCUUUGAGUUCUAGGCGGGCCUCUUUCCAGAGAGGUUUCUUAGGUCUAUUUUGGACCUAUCGAAGACGAUGAAACCAACACAGAAGAAAGGAGCUCUUAGAUGAUUGCAGAGAUGGAAAUGAAGUCUGAUGACACUGAGCAUCCAUUCCCAGACACCUGGGCUAGACUUUGCAGUCACUUGACCCAACACAUGAAGGAGACAUGCUUAUGUCCACCUGGAGGCCUGUACAGAGUCAUUCAUCCUGCAUCAUUCUGAGUAACCACCA